rnacentral:rRNA from 1 species
UACGAAGGGUGCAAGCGUUACUCGGAAUUACUGGGCGUAAAGCGUGCGUAGGCGGUUUGUUAAGUCCGUUGUGAAAGCCCCGGGCUCAACCCGGGAGGGUCGUCGUGAACCGGGGGGCUUGAGGCCGGUAGAGGUGGGUGGAACUCCUGGUGGAGUGGUGAAAUGCGUAGAGAUCAGGAAGAACACCCGUGGCGAAGGCGGCCCACUGGGCCGGUACUGACGCUGAGGCACGAAGGCGUGGGGAGCGAACGGG